ACCUUCGUCGUCCUUCGCCAAUUCCUUACACUCCCAUUUGCGACCUUUCCUAUGCCCAAUUUGAUCGAAAUUAGAAUCCAUCGUCCCCAAUAAUUCCUUUAUUAUUUUCUUAUUAUUAAAUUAUUAAUUUUAUUUUUAUCAUUCACAACGCCAACAACUACUUUAGCAUUAUCAAUUUAUCAUCAUCCAACAACAAUAUCAUCAUAUUCAUUCUCCAUUGUUUCCUCUCUCUCUCUCCUCGUCAUUCGUCAACACUUGCCAACUAUUUAAGUUACCCAAAGAUGCUUCGUUUUCAUCAUAUCGUUAGAGUUUCUCUAUUUGCAUCCAAAGCUUCAACCUUUCCUCUUACCUCUCUUUCUCUUUCAACAUCAAUUCCCAAAAGAACUACCUUCGCACUUCGAUCACAAAUGACUUCUUUCUCUUCUUCUUCUUCCUCUUCCUCCUCAAAGCUCUUGUUUCGCCAGCUUUUCGAGAAGGAAUCGUCUACAUACACGUACCUUCUUGCUGAUGCAUCACACCCCGAUAAACCAGCGCUUUUGAUAGACCCUGUAGAUAGAACAGUGGAUAGAGACUUAUCCCUUAUUCAAGAGCUGGGAUUGAAGCUUGUGUAUGCCAUGAACACUCAUGUACAUGCUGAUCAUGUCACUGGGACUGGCCUUAUCAAGAGCAAAGUUCCGGGUGUAAAAUCUAUUAUUUCGAAAGCAAGUGGUGCAACGGCUGAUCUUUUUGUGGAACCAGGUGAUAAAGUCCAUUUUGGUGAUCUUUUUUUGGAGGUUCGAGCUACUCCUGGUCAUACCUUGGGUUGCGUUACCUAUGUUACAGGAGAUGCUUCUGAUCAACCUCAACCUAGGAUGGCAUUCACUGGAGAUGCCCUAUUAAUACGUGGAUGUGGAAGGACUGACUUUCAGGGUGGGAGUUCGGAGCAGCUUUACAAAUCAGUAUAUUCACAGAUUUUUACACUGCCCAAGGAUACAUUUAUCUACCCAGCUCAUGACUACAAAGGAUUCAGUGUAAGCACUGUUGGAGAGGAGAUGCAGUACAAUCCACGGCUAACAAAGGAUGAGAGAGAUCCUCGAAGCAUGGAAUAUGGAAAGGUCGGAUCUACUAUUUGAAUGCUUUGACUGACAUCCAAUUUACAGCAAAGCUAAUAUUCUGUGAUAAAUAACUUUUGUCCGGGAAGCUGAGCUCUUGAAAAUGAAACUUUCAAGAACAUCAUGGCAAAUCUUAACCUUUCAUAUCCAAAAAUGAUCGAUGUUGCUGUCCCAGCUAAUUUGGUUUGUGGAGUUCAAUCCAAGUAGAGGGUGUCUGUGUGAGCAAGAAGCAAGAAUGAGUACAAAUAACACACUCCAGCAACCAGUUAGUAAUGUAAUUUACCACGAAAAAGAAGUGUUAAUUGGAAUUUGAGUUGAACAGAAAAUGAAGAAUGUAAACUAAUAGUAAAAUAAUGAUUGUGGGACUCAAUCUAAUAUAAAUAUAUACUUCAGUGAUUAUGCUUA